UACGUAGGGUGCGAGCGUUUGUCCGGAAUUAUUGGGCGUAAAGAGCUUGUAGGCGGUUUGUCGCGUCUGCUGUGAAAAUCCGGGGCUCAACCCCGGACUUGCAGUGGGUACGGGCAGACUAGAGUGUGGUAGGGGGAGACUGGAAUUCCUGGUGUAGCGGUGAAAUGCGCAGAUAUCAGGAGGAACACCGAUGGCGAAGGCAGGUCUCUGGGCCACUACUGACGCUGAGAAGCGAAAGCAUGGGGAGCGAACAGG
rnacentral:rRNA from 1 species